rnacentral:rRNA from 1 species
CAGUAGCCGCGGUAAUACGUAUGUCACAAGCGUUAUCCGGAUUUAUUGGGCGUAAAGCGCGUCUAGGCGGUUAUGUAAGUCUGAUGUGAAAAUGCAGGGCUCAACUCUGUAUUGCGUUGGAAACUGUGUAACUAGAGUACUGGAGAGGUAAGCGGAACUACAAGUGUAGAGGUGAAAUUCGUAGAUAUUUGUAGGAAUGCCGAUGGGGAAGCCAGCUUACUGGACAGAUACUGACGCUGUAGCGCGAAAGCGUGGGUAGCAAACAGGAUUAGAUACCCCGGUAGUCCCUGUCUCUUAUACA